rnacentral:rRNA from 1 species
AACGUAGGACACGAGCGUUAUCCGGAGUUACUGGGCGUAAAGGGCGGGUAGGCGGUGCGAUAAGACUGGUGUGAAAGCCCCGAGCUUAACUUGGGAAUUGCGCUUGUGACUGGCGUGCUGGAGUGUGGCAGAGGGAGGUGGAAUUCCACGUGUAGCAGUGAAAUGCGUAGAGAUGUGGAGGAACACCGAUGGCGAAGGCAGCCUCCUGGGCCAGCACUGACGCUCAUGCACGAAAGCGUGGGGAGCAAACAGG